rnacentral:rRNA from 1 species
GAUGAACGCUGGCGGCGUGCCUGAUACAUGCAAGUCGAGCGAAUGGAUUAAGAGCUUGCUCUUAUGAAGUUAGCGGCGGACGGGUGAGUAACACGUGGGUAACCUGCCCAUAAGACUGGGAUAACUCCGGGAAACCGGGGCUAAUACCGGAUAACAUUUUGAACCGCAUGGUUCGAAAUUGAAUGGCGGCUUCGGCUGUCACUUAUGGAUGGACCCGCGUCGCAUUAGCUAGUUGGUGAGGUAACGGCUCACCAAGGCAACGAUGUGUAGCCGACCUGAGAGGGUGAUCGGCCACACUGGGACUGAGACACGGCCCAGACUCCUACGGGAGGCAGCAGUAGGGAAUCUUCCGCAAUGGACGAAAGUCUGACGGAGCAACGCCGCGUGAGUGAUGAAGGCUUUCGGGUCGUAAAACUCUGUUGUUAGGGAAGAACAAGUGCUAGUUGAAUAAGCUGGCACCUUGACGGUACCUAACCAGAAAGCCACGGCUAACUACGUGCCAGCAGCCGCCGUAA